rnacentral:rRNA from 1 species
GUAGUCUCGCACAGAUGCAUAUCAAUAAGCGGAGGAAAAGAAACUAACAAGGAUUCCCCUAGUAACGGCGAGUGAAGCGGGAAGAGCUCAAAUUUGAAAUCUUAAAGGGUUUCCCUUUACGAAUUGUAGUUUAAAGAAGUGUUUUCUGUUGAGGUUUUGGUAAAAGUUCUUUGGAAUAGGACAUCAUAGAGGGUGAGAAUCCCGUAUUUGACCUUUACUUUCAACUUUGUGAUACACUUUCAAAGAGUCGGAUUGUUUGGGAAUGCAGUCCAAAAUGGGUGGUAAAUUUCAUCUAAAGCUAAAUAUUGGCGAGAGACCGAUAGCGAACAAGUACCGUGAGGGAAAGAUGAAAAGAACUUUGAAAAGAGAGUUAAACAGUACGUGAAGUUGUCAAAAGGGAAGCGUUUGACACCAGUGUUGUUUUUCUGAAAAUCAAUUAAAGAACUGUUUAUGCUAAGCUGUUUAGACUUUAUCAGCUAAUCUGUUUAGUUUUGAGCUUUUCUUUAAUGCACUUUUCAGUUAACAAGUCAACAUCAAUUUCUUUUGCUGUAAAAAAGCUUGAGGAAGGUGGCUUGAGAUUCGUCUUAAGUGUUUAUAGCCUCUUGCCUAUGCAGUCGGAGAGAUUGAGGUCUGCAGCGUAGAUCCUUCGGGGCUAAAUGCAUUUGUGCUAAGUUAUAGCAUUUUAUAGACAACUUGUUGACUAUGAUUUGUCUUGUAGCUUACUCGCUUAUGUUAUUUUACCUACGCUUAGGAUGUUGAUCUGUAGUGCGUGCGC